AAGAGUGACCUGCUGUGAGAUGUUCUGUAUGGUGUGAAUGUGUUGCUCUGAUUGGUUGAUAAAUAAAAAGCUUAUUGGCCAGUAGCCAGGGAGGAAGUAUAGGCAGGAUAAACGGACAAGGAGAAUUCUGGGAACAAGAAGGCUGAGCGAGGAGACGCCAGCCCACUGUCCAGGGAGCAGCAUGUAAUGGCACAAGGCUGAAGAACGUGACUGAAGGCUUCCACUCUGGACCCGUGAACGGGUGUGAUCCAGGUGAUGAUGGUUUGGAAUAAAGCGUGACACCUACAAAACACUCGUCAGCAUGCUGGAAGCUGUUGCUGAUCUUACAGUUGAGUCAAUCCUGGAAAAGCAGAGAGAAGAUGCAUUCUGAGCUUGGGCCAGGCCAGAGUCCCCAGGAAAAGAGGGAAACAGGCCAUGCAAGCUAAAGCAUUGCAGUCUUGACACGUCCUGCUACUGAGCACUUUCCUGUGGUGACAGUCCCAUUCAGGAGACUUAAACCAACAAGCUCAGAGGAACAAGAGCUGCUGGGGUCUGGUCAUCAGAGGCCCGAGCAAAGAAUCACGGAAGACAAGGACCCUGGAGAGCACUGAGCCAGUUGUUGACACGAUUUGCAUGCACCCGGGCAGCCUCUGAGACAGCUACAGUCCAGACCUUUACUUGCCUUUGACAUCCACACUCCUAGUCACCACUCCACACUUCCCCUUAGAUCAAAGGUCCCUUCAAGAAGUUCCCUGGGCUUCAAAGUAUGAAAUAGACACCAUGCAGAUCAGUGUUCCUCCUGAGGUCUCGGGCUGAUUAACUUGAAGUCAGAGAACUGAGAUCAUCAAAAGCUGUCCAGGAGAUUAAAUUCUGCCCACGGCUUUUCACUGCCAUCCCUCUUCUGUUCUUGUCUGUUCAUUCUUUCUGGAACACCUGCAGUUCAGAUAGCAAUAACUCCAGCCUCUUUUCCCCCUAAAAUUUUGGAGCUAUUUGCUUAUUUCACACUUGCCCCUUGGUGCUGCACUUGGGAAGUGUCAUUUGGCUUGAAUGUUCGGAUUUGCUAUUCGGACUCUGGCUGUUUCAAGCAUAGGAGCGUCUAAUCGACUCUCAGAGGUAUAUUGCAUGGCUGUGACUCCUGGAAAAUACUGACAUACUCACUGCCAAGCCUCCUGGCUGUUCCCCCACCCCAGGUUGCAGUUGUUCCCAUUGUCAGCAAGCCUGUGGAUCUGCUUCUGUGUUAUUCCAUAUGCUCUGAGCACUUGUAGAUCUUAGUCUGUGCCUAUCUGGCCAUGAGGGGAGCCUUAUUGUUCACAGAUUGUUUCAAGAACACAGGGGGGAGGGAUCCUCUUCACAUACUCGCCAUUAGCUGUUCCUUCUGGAGACUCCCUCCUACAGGGCACUGUCUUCUGUCUUUCUGUCCCUUGUCCUACUCAUGCUCUUAUCUCAAGGCACCUGCCACUGGUGUCCACUGUCUGAUGCCAAAGCACUUCCUUUGUGUACCAUGGACUCUUGUGGUAGUUUGAAUGAGAAACAGUCCCCAUAGUCUGGGCAUUUGAACACUUGGUUGCUAGUUGGUGGCACGGUUGGAGAGGUUAUGGGGGUUGCAUUCUUGCUGGAGAAAGUCCAUCACUGGGAACAGACUCUGAGAUUAAAAGCCUCAAACCA